rnacentral:snRNA from 1 species
GUGCUCACUUCGGGAGCACAUACACUAAAAUUGGAACAAUACAGAGAAGAUUAGCAUGGCACCUGCACAAGGAUGACACACAAAUUCAUAAAAUGUUCCAUAGUUUU